rnacentral:rRNA from 1 species
GACGAACGCUGGCGGCGUGCCUAAUACGUGCAAGUAGAACGCAGAAGGAGGAGCUUGCUUCUCUGGAUGAGUUGCGAACGGGUGAGUAACGCGUAGGUAACCUGCCUGGUAGUGGGGGAUAACUUUUGGAAACGAUAGCUAAUACCGCAUAGUAGUAGAUGUUGCAUGGCAUUGGCUUAAAAGGUGCAAUUGCAUCACUACCAGAUGGACCUGCGUUGGAUUAGCUUGUGGGUGGGGUAACGGCGCGCCAAGGCGACGAUACAUAGCGGACCUGCGAUGGGGGUCGGCCACACUGGGACUGUGACACGGCCCAUACGCCUUCGGGUGCCAGCAGUAGUGCAUCGUCGGCAAUAGACGGAAGUCUGACCGAGCUACGCCGCGUGAUUGUAGAAGGUUGUCGGAUCGGAAAGCUCUGUUGUAAGAGAAGAACGAGUUUUAGAGUGUAAAGAUCACACUGUGACGGUAUCUUACCAGAAAGCGACGGCUAACUACGUG